CCCUUAGAUGUUCUGGGCUGCACGCGCGCUACACUGAUGCGCUCAACGAGUUUAUGAACUUGCCCGGAAGGGUUGGUUAAUCUUUUUAAAACGCAUCGUGAUGGGGAUAGAUUAUUGCAAUUAUUAAUCUUCAACGAGGAAUUCCUAGUAAGCGCGAGUCAUCAGCUCGUGCUGAAUACGUCCCUGCCCUUUGUACACACCGCCCGUCGCUCCUACCGAUUGAGUGGUCCGGUGAGGCUUUGGGAUCUGAGCGGAAAGAGCGUUUCGCUGUUUCUGCUCGGAAAACUCAGUCGAACCUUAUCAUUUAGAGGAAGGAGAAGUCGUAACA
rnacentral:rRNA from 1 species